rnacentral:rRNA from 1 species
UACGUAGGGGGCAAACGUUGUCCGGAUUUACUGGGUGUAAAGGGUGCUCAGGCGGUCUUGUAAGUCAGAAGUGAGAUCCUAGAGCUUAACUCUGGAACUGCUUUUGAUACUGCAAGGCUUGAAUAUGGAAGAGGAGGGUGGAAUUUCUGGUGUAGCAGUGAAAUGCGUAGAUAUCAGAAAGAACACCAGUGGCGAAGGCGGCCCUCUGGUCCAUUAUUGACGCUAAAGCACGAAAGCGUGGGGAGCAAACAGG